GUACUGACGAAGAGUCCCAAACUCGGACGAAACAGAUGUCCAGUAC
rnacentral:hammerhead_ribozyme from 1 species